ACGGAGGAUCCGAGCGUUAUCCGGAUUUAUUGGGUUUAAAGGGUGCGUAGGCGGCCCCUUAAGUCAGCGGUGAAAGUCUGUGGCUCAACCAUAGAAUUGCCGUUGAAACUGGGAGACUUGAGUAUGUUUGAGGCAGGUGGAAUGCGUGGUGUAGCGGUGAAAUGCAUAGAUAUCACGCAGAACCCCGAUUGCGAAGGCAGCCUGCUAAGCCAUUACUGACGCUGAUGCACGAAAGCGUGGGGAUCAAACAG
rnacentral:rRNA from 1 species